AGUUAGCGACAGGGAGGGAUGCGCGCCUGGGUGUAGUUGUGGGGGAGGAAGUGGCCAGUUCAGGGCCUCAAGGGACAGACAGGGAGAAAUGACUGAGUUGGAUGAGACUAGGGGGCGGGCUGGAGGUGCGAGAAGGAAGCUUGGCAAGGAGACUAGGUCUAGGGGGACCACAGUGGGGCAGGCUGCAUGGAAAAUGUCCGCAGGAGCCCCCAGGGAGGACAGCCACGCUCCAGGCCAGGCUGUCCCUACUGCCUGCUGGAGGGGGAACUUGACCUCUGGGAGGGCGCCGCUCUUGCAUGGCUGAGCGAGCCCGGGUGCGCUGGUCUGUGUGGAAGGAGGAAGGCAGGGAGAGGUAGAAGGGGUGGAGGAGUCAGGAGGAAUGGGCCGCUGCAGCCCUGGAAAUGAUCAGGAAGUCCAAGGGCUGUGAACCCGCCUGGGGAUGAGGCCUGGUCUUGUGGAACUGAACUUAGCUCGACGGGGCUGACCG
rnacentral:lncRNA from 1 species